rnacentral:lncRNA from 1 species
GCAUUUUUGUCAUUUUUCUUUGAAAAUAUCGAAACUCGCCAAAAACAUGGUGUAAAAGCUAAAUAUAUUCAUACAUAUUUUAAAUCAAAUAACUGAAGAAUAAAAUUACUUUUACAGUGACACGUGGGCCCCCAACUGACUAAGAAGAUGUAGGGCUAUGAACUCUUACUUUCUAGGAUGCAACUCCGAGAUUAAUUCUCGUCUUAAUCAACUAUCAACAAAUUGUCCUGAGCUUGAAAAAUGGAUAGGAAAAGGGCUGAGAUUAUGAUUACAUAAUCCCAGUGAGUAGACAGACAUCAUCAAAACAAUCUAAAGCCGAGUAAUAGGAGACAAUUAAAAUAAUUCAUCCCAACCCAUAUAAAUAAUUGGAUUUCAUUCAAUUACUCAACAUGGCUUAUGCACUUUUCAAAAACUUGACCCUUGCCAAAAAUCCAUUCUCGGGGAUACCCCGCGGAGGCAUCUUACCGAGAUCGCCAAGGUUGUUUAUUGUCACACACACAAACACAUUUCACCUCUGACAACACAGCCGUUCUUGGCGUUGGCUGAGUCUCACUUUCACGUGGUGGCCCGAAAAUGAGGUGCACUCAAAUCCUACCUCGGGAGUUAUCCUACGCGCCUCUUCAAUCGAGGUAAGCUCAAUAAUUGGGAACCGUGCCCCUCUAAUUAGGCUAGCCCACGGAACCCCCGUCACUGCAGUGCCCACUUUAUAACCCACCAACCAAUAAAAUCACAAUAGUAUGACAUGGCUCACUUAACACAUUCAAGGCAAAUCAAAGCAGUUCACAUAUUCUUUAAAUCAUAAAAAUAACCAGUCAUACCCACAUUUAUCAUAAGCCAUUUAAUGUAAAAUCAUGGAUAAACAACACAAUCAUAGUAUAGGUCUCCAAUUACUCUAUUUUUGAAAUCAUUAUUAAAUUUUCAAAAAUUUUAUAAAAUUAUUUUAUAAAAUCN